GCGGAUGUAGCUCAAAUGGUAGAGCGCCCGCUUUGCAUGCGGGAGGUGCAGGGUUCGAUCCCCUGCAUCUCCA